AUGGCUCAGGAUGAACGCUAGCUACAGGCUUAACACAUGCAAGUCGAGGGGCAGCAUGUGGUUGCUGCAACCAAUGAUGGCGACCGGCGCACGGGUGAGUAACGCGUAUCCAACCUCCCCUUAGUAGAGGAUAGCCCGGCGAAAGUCGGAUUAAUACUCUAUGUUCUUCAAUGCGGGCAUCUAAGUUGAAGCAAAGAUUUAUCGCUAAGGGAUGGGGAUGCGUCUGAUUAGGUUGCAGGCGGGGUAACGGCCCACCUGGCCUACGAUCAGUAGGGGUUCUGAGAGGAAGGUCCCCCACACUGGUACUGAGACACGGACCAGACUCCUACGGGAGGCAGCAGUGAGGAAUAUUGGUCAAUGGGCGCGAGCCUGAACCAGCCAAGUAGCGUGCAGGGAACCGACUGCCCUAUGGGUUGUAAACUGCUUUUAUCAGGGAAUAAAGUGAGGCACGCGUGCCUUUUUGUAUGUACCUGAUGAAUAAGGACCGGCUAAUUCCGUGCCAGCCGCAGC
rnacentral:rRNA from 1 species